GAAUUUCUUUUAAAAAAUUUUUGGUGCUGUCGCUGAGUGAAAAAAAAGAAGAAAGUAAAAACGAUGGCGUCAGGGCAAAGCCAUGUACAAUUACUAUUUUUUAAAGCGAAGAAAAGUUAAUAAACCAGUCGGCUGCAAGCGCAAUUAAUGGAUUAAAAAUGUAAAAAAAACACGUGGCCAGAGAGAGAGAGAGAGCCGGCAUUGCCCUCCAUAGCCGCUCCAUUUUGAAAAGCCGCCAUUUUCAUGGAUCAGUCUGGAAAAAGUGUGAUUAAGCAUCUUUCUGGAAAUUUGUGAACGUUCAAACUAAAAUUCCAUCACCAUGUGAAAUAUUCCUGAUUGAUAGAAAACUCAGAGAAGCACACCUACCUAUAGGUUUCAGAUAAGUUUCGACAAGGCCUUUGGAAAUCAAUGCUGAAUUGACUCUAUUAAACCAAAAAGAACAUUCUGUUUGAUGUUGUUGAAUGGCUGUUUUCCGUCGUGCUCAUACUAUCAGUAAAGAUAAUGUUGUGCUGCAGUUCAAAUUCCGUAUUAAAACCUUCUAGAUUAAUGUGCAACUAAGCUCGUCUUUCUGGUUAAUUUCGAAGCUUGCUAGCUGUAUAAGAUUCGUAAACAUUUAUCUUCGGCAUUUAAUGGCUUCUAAACGUGGGCUUAUAAUCUGUAAUGUUUAUGGCAGGACGGCUUUUGGACUGUUUUGAUCUAAUGGAAAGGCUGUCCCAGAAAAUGUGUUACGACUAAAAAAAUUUAAACUAAUUUGUCAAAUAAAAGCUAUAAAAGUACCUAAA